UACGUAGGGUGCGAGCGUUUAAUCGGAAUUACUGGGCGUAAAGCGUGCGCAGGCGGUUCGUUGUGUCUGCUGUGAAAUCCCCGGGCUCAACCUGGGAACUGCAUCUGUGACUGUAUAGCUAGAGUACGGUAGAGGGGGAUGGAAUUCCGCGUGUAGCAGUGAAAUGCGUAGAUAUGCGGAGGAACACCGAUGGCGAAGGCAAUCCCCUGGACCUGUACUGACGCUCAUGCACGAAAGCGUGGGGAGCAAACAGG
rnacentral:rRNA from 1 species